UAGGGAAUCUUCGGCAAUGGACGAAAGUCUGACCGAGCAACGCCGCGUGAGUGAAGAAGGUUUUCGGAUCGUAAAACUCUGUUGUUAGAGAAGAACAAGGACGUUAGUAACUGAACGUCCCCUGACGGUAUCUAACCAGAAAGCCACGGCUAACUACGUGCCAGCAGCCGCGGUAAUACGUAGGUGGCAAGCGUUGUCCGGAUUUAUUGGGCGUAAAGCGAGCGCAGGCGGUUUCUUAAGUCUGAUGUGAAAGCACCCGGCUCAACCGGGGAGGGUCAUUGGAAACUGGGAGACUUGAGUGCAGAAGAGGAGAGUGGAAUUCCAUGUGUAGCGGUGAAAUGCGUAGAUAUAUGGAGGAACACCAGUGGCGAAGGCGGCUCUCUGGUCUGUAACUGACGCUGAGGCUCGAAAGCGUGGGGAGCAAACAGG
rnacentral:rRNA from 1 species